rnacentral:rRNA from 1 species
AUUGAACGCUGGCGGCAGGCCUAACACAUGCAAGUCGAACGGUAACAGGAAACAGCUUGCUGUUUCGCUGACGAGUGGCGGACGGGUGAGUAAUGUCUGGGAAACUGCCUGAUGGAGGGGGAUAACUACUGGAAACGGUAGCUAAUACCGCAUAACGUCGCAAGACCAAAGAGGGGGACCCUCGGGCCUCUUGCCAUCGGAUGUGCCCAGAUGGGAUUAGCUUGUUGGUGGGGUAACGGCUCACCAAGGCGACGAUCCCUAGCUGGUCUGAGAGGAUGACCAGCCACACUGGAACUGAGACACGGUCCAGACUCCUACGGGAGGCAGCAGUGGGGAAUAUUGCACAAUGGGCGCAAGCCUGAUGCAGCCAUGCCGCGUGUAUGAAGAAUGUCUUCGGGUUGUAAAGUACUUUCAGCGGGGAGGAAGGGAGUAAAGUUAAUACCUUUGCUCAUUGACGUUACCCGCAGAAGAAGCACCGGCUAACUCCGUGCCAGCAGCCGCGGUAAUACGGAGGGUGCAAGCGUUAAUCGGAAUUACUGGGCGUAAAGCGCACGCAGGCGGUUUGUUAAGUCAGAUGUGAAAUCCCCGGGCUCAACCUGGGAACUGCAUCUGAUACUGGCAAGCUUGAGUCUCGUAGAGGGGGGUAGAAUCCCAGGUGUAGCGGUGAAAUGCGUAGAGAUCUGGAGGAAUACCGGUGGCGAAGGCGGCCCCCUGGACGAAGACUGACGCUCAGGUGCGAAAGCGUGGGGAGCAAACAGGAUUAGAUACCCUGGUAGUCCACGCCGUAAACGAUGUCGACUUGGAGGUUGUGCCCUUGAGGCGUGGCUUCCGGAGCUAACGCGUUAAGUCGACCGCCUGGGGAGUACGGCCGCAAGGUUAAAACUCAAAUGAAUUGACGGGGGCCCGCACAAGCGGUGGAGCAUGUGGUUUAAUUCGAUGCAACGCGAAGAACCUUACCUGGUCUUGACAUCCACGGAAGUUUUCAGAGAUGAGAAUGUGCCUUCGGGAACCGUGAGACAGGUGCUGCAUGGCUGUCGUCAGCUCGUGUUGUGAAAUGUUGGGUUAAGUCCCGCAACGAGCGCAACCCUUAUCCUUUGUUGCCAGCGGUCCGGCCGGGAACUCAAAGGAGACUGCCAGUGAUAAACUGGAGGAAGGUGGGGAUGACGUCAAGUCAUCAUGGCCCUUACGACCAGGGCUACACACGUGCUACAAUGGCGCAUACAAAGAGAAGCGACCUCGCGAGAGCAAGCGGACCUCAUAAAGUGCGUCGUAGUCCGGAUUGGAGUCUGCAACUCGACUCCAUGAAGUCGGAAUCGCUAGUAAUCGUGGAUCAGAAUGCCACGGUGAAUACGUUCCCGGGCCU